CCUCGUCAAGCGCUGCUUGUGUUGGGGCUUCUGCGGGCUACGCAGGCCCCGAAAUCCAGUGGCCGACGCGGGCGCGCCCCCUAGCGGAGUAGGCUCCUGUACCACGCUGGGAGGUGCGCCCGCCUCGCGCCGUAAAACCCCUCCCCUUCCUCCUCCCGUGCGCCCCUCUAGGGGCCUAGGAGCGAGCCA
rnacentral:misc_RNA from 1 species